AUUUCCAUUCAACCACAAAGUCAGGCCCUCCCUAUGGCUAAAUUGGCAACAUUAACCCACAGUGUGAGUAGGGCAGGGCCUAGGUUAUAUUCUCAGUCUUGCAACUGCCUCUGUCUGACAUUAGUCAGAUUCUCCAGUUGGGGGUUUUGCCUGGCCCCUAAAUUCUUUCCUUCUAACUCCCUUGUUCUCUGAGACUCUGCCAUGGCUUACGCCUAAAGGGCUUUCCUAGAGCCCAGUUCUCCCAUUUCGCAGCCUGACAAAUAAAAUCAAUUUCGCCUCUGUUAGAGCCAUUGCAACUUCACUACCCAUGUAUUGAGCCUGGAGUAAGUGCUCAAUAGAUGUUAAGGGAGUGAAUGAAUGAGCACAUGUGGUGUAAAGAUACGCACCACGGGGGAGUGGACAGAGCACUGGGUGAGAACAGAGCACUGGGUGAGAACUCUGGAGUCUAAGGUUCAAGUCCCGGUUCUGCCUCCAUCAAGCUGUGUGCCUUAGGGAAAUGGCCUUCUCUUCUGGGCUUCCUUCUCCAAAAAUGAAGGGGCUGGACUUGCAGAUUUCUAAGGUUCCUUCCAUGUCACAGACUUGGAGAUCCACGUCCUAACAGAUUCUACUCCGCAAUCAUCAGCGAGGGGCAGCAAUUAACAGCCAGAAAAA
rnacentral:lncRNA from 10 species